UGGGGAAUUUUGGACAAUGGGCGAAAGCCUGAUCCAGCAAUGCCGCGUGUGUGAAGAAGGCCUUCAGGUUGUAAAGCACUUUUGUCCGGAAAGAAAUCCUUGGCUCUAAUACAGUCGGGGGAUGACGGUACCGGAAGAAUAAGCACCGGCUAACUACGUGCCAGCAGCCGCGGUAAUACGUAGGGUGCAAGCGUUAAUCGGAAUUACUGGGCGUAAAGCGUGCGCAGGCGGUUUGCUAAGACCGAUGUGAAAUCCCCGGGCUCAACCUGGGAACUGCAUUGGUGACUGGCAGGCUAGAGUAUGGCAGAGGGGGGUAGAAUUCCACGUGUAGCAGUGAAAUGCGUAGAGAUGUGGAGGAAUACCGAUGGCGAAGGCAGCCCCCUGGGCCAAUACUGACGCUCAUACACGAAAGCGUGGGGAGCAAACAGGAUUAGAUACCCUGGUAGUCCACGCCCUAAACGAUGUCAACUAGUUGUUGGGGAUUCAUUUCCUUAGUAACGUAGCUAACGCGUGAAGUUGACCGCCUGGGGAGUACGGUCGCAAGAUUAAAACUCAAUGAAUUGACGGGGUCAUAGCUGUUUCCU
rnacentral:rRNA from 1 species